GGUACUGUACACAUGCUGGAUUUUGUCUCCCCCUCAACAAAGGCCACCCCUCUGAUGUGCCCACUUUUAGUCUGCAGUGCAGGUGGUCUUAAUAGAGGGGGACCACUGUACAUGGGGUCUGCUCAUUCCAAAUUUC